CCUACGGGUGGCAGCAGUGAGGAAUAUUGGUCAAUGGGCGCGAGCCUGAACCAGCCAAGUCGCGUGAGGGAAGACGGUCCUAUGGAUUGUAAACCUCUUUUGUCGGGGAGCAAAAGACGCCACGCGUGGCGUUCCGAGAGUAACCGAAGAAAAAGCAUCGGCUAACUCCGUGCCAGCAGCCGCGGUAAUACGGAGGAUGCGAGCGUUAUCCGGAUUUAUUGGGUUUAAGGGGUGCGCAGGCGGAAGAUCAAGUCAGCGGUAAAAUUGAGAGGCUCAACCUCUUCGAGCCGUUGAAACUGGUGUUCUUGAGUGAGUGAGAGGUAGGCGGAAUGCGUGGUGUAGCGGUGAAAUGCAUAGAUAUCACGCAGAACUCCGAUUGCGAAGGCAGCAUACCGGCGCUCAACUGACGCUCAUGCACGAAAGUGUGGGUAUCGAACAGGAUUAGAUACCCCUGUAGUC
rnacentral:rRNA from 1 species